AUUGAACGCUGGCGGCAGGCUUAACACAUGCAAGUCGAACGAGUGGCGGACGGGUGAGUAAUGCUUGGGAAUCUAGCUUAUGGCGGGGGAUAACUACGGGAAACAGUAGCUAAUACCGCAUACCAUAGGAUGAGCCCAGGUGGGAUUAGUUAGUUGGUGAGGUAAAGGCUCACCCAGACGACGAUCUCUAGCUGGUCUGAGAGGAUGACCAGCCACAUUGGAACUGAGACACGGCCCAGACUCCUACGGGAGGCAGCAGUGGGGAAUAUUGCGCAAUGGGGGCAACCUGACGCAGCCAUGCCGCGUGUAUGAAGAAGGCCUUCGGGUUGUAAAGUUCUUUCGGUAGCGAGGCGUUACCUACAGAAGAAGCACCGGCUAACUCCGUGCCAGCCGCCGCGGUAAUUC
rnacentral:rRNA from 1 species